rnacentral:rRNA from 1 species
UACGAAGGGUGCAAACGUUGCUCGGAAUCAUUGGGCGUAAAGCGCACGUAGGCGGCAUUCUAAGUCGGAUGUGAAAUCCCUCGGCUCAACCGAGGACGUGCAUCCGAAACCGGAACGCUCGAGUAUGGAAGAGGGUCGCGGAAUUCUCGGUGUAGAGGUGAAAUUCGUAGAUAUCGGGAGGAACACCAGUGGCGAAGGCGGCGACCUGGGCCAAUACUGACGCUGAGGUGCGAAAGCGUGGGGAGCAAACAGG